rnacentral:rRNA from 1 species
UACGUAGGCAGCAAGCGUUGUUCGGAAUUACUGGGCGUAAAGAGUGUGUAGGCGGUGCUCUAAGUCUGUUGUGAAAUCUCCCGGCUUAACUGGGAGGGUGCAGCGGAAACUGGAAUGCUCGAGUAUGGGAGAGGUAAGCGGAAUUCCUGGUGUAGCGGUGAAAUGCGUAGAUAUCUGGAGGAACACCGGUGGCGAAGGCGACAUCCUGGACCAACACUGACGCUGAGGAGCGAAAGCCAGGGGAGCGAACAGG